GCGGGUGGGGAGAGGGGCGCAGAAGCCGCGGGAGAGCGCGGCCCAGAGGCCGAGGAGGGCGCGGGCGGAGCCGGCCCGAGCCCGGCCGCCAUCGUGGACACUUGCAGCGGUUGACAGUUCCCACCACGGCCCAAGAGACAGCGGCUACGGAGGCAGAAAGAGCCCAGCCACCCUCAUCACAGCCCGCACGCCCGCCUCACCUGGACUUGCCCACCCCACUCUCACCGAUGAUGAGGCUCUUCAGGGUGCAACACGUCCUCGUCCACCCUAACCCCGCUGCACUCCGAGCCCAGCUGGCCGCCCAGAUCUUUGCUCAAAUGUUGCCUUCUUAAGGAGGCCUUCCCUGCACAUCCUACUGAAAAUAUGCAGAUUCCUCCAGCAUCUCCGAGAAAUCCAAAAGCCUGGCAUGCUGGCAAAAGCGUACACAGACCAUCUACAACAUGUUUGGACUCUCUGACUUGUCUAUAUUUUCACCAGGUAAAGAAAGCUUUUUAUGGUUUGCUGGGGACAAUCAACCCCUUCACAAUCUAGAACCUGAAGAUUGGAUAUUCUCAGAACAUCAGAGAAAGACUGUCCUUGCCAUUCACACUGCAACAAAACUUUGGAAACUUGAACCUUGGGUUCAUAAACUCACAACUGAGAAAGGUCCCUCCACACCCUUGGAACUGUACACCCAUUGGAACCCUCAAGGUUUUAAAUAUUUGCAUGCAGCCAUCUCUAGAAAGUCAAAUGGUAUCUCUUCAACUGGAAUGACAAGAGAUGAAAGAAAUGUGCAACCAUGAGGAUAUUGUAACCUACGAAUGAUGUGCUGAGACCGGAAACCCAAAAUGAUGGUAACGGGAGAGUGGUGCUGAGGCCCUAAGUUUUGGUCAUACUCUCACCUAAGUGAGAACCUGACCAAAAAGGGGGAAUUUUUUAAAAUAAAAUUAUGAGAGGCCAUUGUUUUGGACUAAGCUCAUGCACUAGGCCCCAAUAGGCCAAACCAAACUAAAAAGCAGUAACUUGUGCUAAAUGUGACAUAAUGAAACUAAGACUUUAAGGAAACACAUAGAUCCUAGAACAGACCAGGUUUUGUUUUUCUCCUGUAAACAGGACGUUCCAGCAUAAAGAGGUACCCUCUACUCAUUCCUCAUUCCCUCUUUCCAAAACCCACUGUUCUACUGUUUCCCAGUGGGUUUCAACACCAAAUAAGUACAUUUACAAAGGUGAUGGUGACAUCAGUAACUACAGUUUUGGUCAAUCUCUCAAAAUUGAGAAAAUGACCAAAAGGGAGGAAUUGUUAAAGUGAAUUAAAUAUGUCCUUAGAAGGACCCCAUACUUCUAUAUUUCAGUCCUUGUGGAUGAACUGCAACCUAGCUUAAUAGGUAGACAGGAUUCAAAACAUAACUUAGGAAUAUGUGCCUAUAAUAAUAGCUGAGCCUUGGUCAAUCCCAGUGGCCAUACUUCAACAAUUCAUACACUGCUGAAGGUUCAAACUGUGUUCAAAUAAGGCAAAUGCCAAGCCGUAACCAAUCCAGCUGUUCUGUACCUCACUUCCAAUUUCUGUACGUUGUUUCCCUUUUUUUUGUCUAUAAAUCUUCUUCCACCACGUGGCUAUGCUGGAGUCUCUGUGAAUCUGCUGUGAUUCUGGGGGCUGCCCGUUUCACGAAUCAUUCACUGCUCAAUUAAACUCCUUUAAAUUUA